GAUGAACGCUGGCGGCGUGCCUAAUACAUGCAAGUCGAGCGAACAGACGAGGAGCUUGCUCCUCUGACGUUAGCGGCGGACGGGUGAGUAACACGUGGAUAACCUACCUAUAAGACUGGGAUAACUUCGGGAAACCGGAGCUAAUACCGGAUAAUAUAUUGAACCUCAUUGUUCAAUAGUGAAAGACGGUUUUGCUUUCACUUAUAGAUGGAUCCGCGCCGCAUUAGCUAGUUGGUAAGGUAACGGCUUACCAAGGCAACGAUGCGUAGCCGACCUGAGAGGGUGAUCGGACACACUGGAACUGAGACACGGUACAGACUCCUACGGGAGGCAGCAGUAGGGAAUCUUCCGCAAUGGGCGAAAGCCUGACGGAGCAACGCCGCGUGAGUGAUGAAGGUCUUCGGAUCGUAAAACUCUGUUAUUAGGGAAGAACAAAUGUGUAAGUAACUAUGCACGUCUUGACGGUACCUAAUCAGAAAGCCACGGCUAACUACGUG
rnacentral:rRNA from 1 species